GCAACCCGACUACAUGAAGCUGGGAAUCGCUAGUAAUCGCGGAUCAGAAUGCCGCGGUGAAUACGUUCCCGGGUCUUGUACACACCGCCCGUCACACCAUGGGAGUCGGAAAUGCCCGAAGCCGGUGACCUAACCUUUCAGGAAGGAGCCGUCGAAGGCAGGUCUGAUAACUGGGGUGAAGUCGUAACAAGGUAUC
rnacentral:rRNA from 1 species